CGCAUGUGAGAGUCUUUUCAGAAGAGGCCCCAGAAGUCAGGGAGCAGAGGCUGGCAACGUCUGCCGUGCCUGGGCAGAGAACCCGUAAGUCCCGAGAUGAGAACAAACUCCUGCAGGAACUGCUGUAUCCAGACACCAGAACGCGGGGACUUCACGUGACGUCACCAGCUGUGACUCCUGGGCUGAGAGCCUGGCUGGCCCUGCAGGCCCCGGGGACCCCAGGGCUGGGGGCGCAUUGUUCCAGGACAGAUUUGGGGGUGCCCUGCAGAAGGGGGCCUUCGGGUGCAUCUGCUGGGGUAAGAACAGCCUGGUUCCGUGUCCUGCCUUUCUGUCAGGGCCGGACCGCGUCCCCGGCGCCCGCGGCACCUGCAGCCGCCUCCACUGGACGACCGAGCCAGGCCCGAGCAGAUGGCCUCCAGCUUCAAGACUCGGACACUUGCCUCUGUUUUCAGCCUUUUGCUUUUUAGGUCACAAACUGCAACCGGCAGCCAGGAGCGUCCAAGGUGAGUGGGGAAUCUAGGCAGGGCCUCAAGACAGACACUCCACAAACAACAGUGAAAAACACAAAGUGAUACAAAAAUCCUGUGUGUGUGCAUGUGUGUGUGCGUGUGUGGGCACACGUGCUGGUGCAAAGCAGCUGAAAAGCGACCCUCCUGUCUUCCCUGAUGAGGUGACAGGAUAGAGACGAGGCCCAAGAGUCCCCAGAGCAGCAGCUCCUGACUUCAAGGACAGACGGACGCCUCAGAGGGGUCGCCCGUGGGGAGAGGAGGGUCUGCAUCAGUACAUCCACCAGCUGAGUCCUGUUCUCUGCCUUGGUUUCCGGCCAGUGUUGCCUGCUCUGAAGCCCAGCCGAGCCGUCCUGGGCAGGACCUCCGGGGGGAGGAAAGGCUGCACCCCGUCCCACAGCCACGAGCCGCAGCCUGGUGAGGGAAAGCCGGCCACCUGCGGGGCCCGCGGGGCCACGUGCAGGUCUGGGGGCAGGGCUGCAUCCACCAGGAGGAGCCUCGAGUUUGCUUGAGCAAAACCCCUUGAGAAGGGCGGGAGGAGGCCCAGGGCCCCUGGAGGAGCCGCGCUGCCACCAGCCAAGGGCGCCCGGGGCCACCAGGCGCUGGAAGAGGCAGGAGGACCUUCCCCGGAGAGGAGAGCAGAAAGCACGACCCUGAAGAAACCUAGAACUCGGCCCCUAGGACUGUGAGAAACUACGCUUCUGCUUCUCUCAGCUGCUCGUCAGUGAUGCCGUGAUGUCACAGCUCCAGGACGCUAAUCCAGGCAGCGAGAUGCAAAGCGAAGAGCCCCAGCGUGAGGAAGCAGCCAGCGGGG